UAAAGGGUAAUCCAGACGUGGACCCCUUGCUCACGGUGCCUAGAGAGAUAUUAGCUAUGCCUCACUGACGAUGCCUAACAAGGCUGAAACGAUCGUCUGGGGUUGCUGUAUCUCUCGUGCAGAGAGAACUUGCUGGCAUUUCGGAUCUGGACUGCCCGUAUGGGUGGGACCAGUCUGAUAUGCUUCAGAUAUGUUCUCUCUGUAAUGGCACAAGUUGAGCUAAAACCAGCUUGAGUUCUGAGCGGGGACCCACCAAAGGGCAGGCUAUUUUAGCUGCUGUCCGUCCUCAGAAUACUCUUGCGACCCAUUUUUU
rnacentral:lncRNA from 1 species